UAGGGAAUCUUCCACAAUGGACGCAAGUCUGAUGGAGCAACGCCGCGUGAGUGAAGAAGGUUUUCGGACCGUAAAGCUCUGUUGUUGGUGAAGAAGGAUAGAGGUAGUAACUGGCCUUUAUUUGACGGUAAUCAACCAGAAAGUCAUGGCUAACUACGUGCCAGCAGCCGCGGUAAUACGUAGGUGGCAAGCGUUGUCCGGAUUUAUUGGGCGUAAAGCGAGCGCAGGCGGAAGAAUAAGUCUGAUGUGAAAGCCCUCGGCUUAACCGAGGAAUUGCAUCGGAAACUGUUUUCUUGAGUGCAGAAGAGGAGAGUAGAAGCUCCAUGUGUAGCGGUGGAAUGCGUAGAUAUAUGGAAGAAUACCAGUGGCGAAGGCGGCUCUCUGGUCUGCAACUGACGCUGAGGCUCGAAAGCAUGGGUAGCGAACAGGAUUAGAUACCCUGGUAGUCCAUGCCGUAAACGAUGAGUGCUAAGUGUUGGGAGGCUUCCGCCUCUCAGUGCUGCAGCUAACGCAUUAAGCAC
rnacentral:rRNA from 1 species